UACGGAAGGGGCAAGCGUUGUUCGGAAUCAUUGGGCGUAAAGGGCGCGUAGGUGGUUCUGUAUGUCUACCGUGAAAGCGUACGGCUCAACCGUAUUUUGUCGGUGGAAACUGCAGGACUUGAGGCUGGGAGGGGCUGGUGGAAUUCCCUGUGUAGCGGUGAAAUGCGUAGAUAUCUGGAGGAACACCGGUGGCGAAGGCGGCGUUCUGGACUGCAACUGACACUGAUGAACGAAAGCCAGGGGAGCAAACGGG
rnacentral:rRNA from 1 species